rnacentral:rRNA from 1 species
AAAAGAUGGCUAUGCUACCGCUUUUGGAUGGGCCCGCGGCGCAUUAGCUAGUUGGUGGGGUAAAGGCUUACCAAGGCAAUGAUGCGUAGCCGAACUGAGAGGUUGAUCGGCCACAUUGGGACUGAGACACGGCCCAAACUCCUACGGGAGGCAGCAGUAGGGAAUCUUCCACAAUGGGCGAAAGCCUGAUGGAGCAACGCCGCGUGGGUGAAGAAGGUCUUCGGAUCGUAAAACCCUGUUGUUAGAGAAGAAAGUGCGUGAGAGUAACUGUUCACGUUUCGACGGUAUCUAACCAGAAAGCCACGGCUAACUACGUGCCAGCAGCCGCGGUAAUACGUAGGUGGCAAGCGUUAUCCGGAUUUAUUGGGCGUAAAGGGAACGCAGGCGGUCUUUUAAGUCUGAUGUGAAAGCCUUCGGCUUAACCGGAGUAGUGCAUUGGAAACUGGGAGACUUGAGUGCAGAAGAGGAGAGUGGAACUCCAUGUGUAGCGGUGAAAUGCGUAGAUAUAUGGAAGAACACCAGUGGCGAAAGCGGCUCUCUGGUCUGUAACUGACGCUGAGGUUCGAAAGCGUGGGUAGCAAACAGGAUUAGAUACCCUGGUAGUCCACGCCGUAAACGAUGAAUGCUAAGUGUUGGAGGGUUUCCGCCCUUCA